rnacentral:tRNA from 1 species
GGGCCAGUUGCGCAAUGGAUAACGUGUCUGACUACGGAUCAAAAGAUUCCAUGUUCAACUCCUGGUUGGCUCA